rnacentral:rRNA from 1 species
GUAGGGAAUCUUCCACAAUGGGCGCAAGCCUGAUGGAGCAACACCGCGUGAGUGAAGAAGGGUUUCGGCUCGUAAAGCUCUGUUGUUAAAGAAGAACACGUAUGAGAGUAACUGUUCAUACGUUGACGGUAUUUAACCAGAAAGUCACGGCUAACUACGUGCCAGCAGCCGCGGUAAUACGUAGGUGGCAAGCGUUAUCCGGAUUUAUUGGGCGUAAAGAGAGUGCAGGCGGUUUUCUAAGUCUGAUGUGAAAGCCUACGGCUUAACCGGAGAAGUGCAUCGGAAACUGGAUAAAUUGAGUGCAGAAGAGGGUAGUGGAACUCCAUGUGUAGCGGUGGAAUGCGUAGAUAUAUGGAAGAACACCAGUGGCGAAGGCGGCUACCUGGUCUGCAACUGACGCUGAGACUCGAAAGCAUGGGUAGCGAACAGGAUUAGAUACCCGAGUAGUCC